rnacentral:lncRNA from 13 species
CACUGUCAGCAGGGAGUCAAUCCCGUGCAGGUGCAGUUGUUGAAGCUUGCAGUGAUGGCCCCGCCGUGACAAAUUCCAUUCAAGUACAGAAUGACAGAAACGAACUGGAGGGUCAAGGCAGGUCUUAAAACUGAUGCUUAGUCAAACAUUUGAAAUUGAUCAUUCACUUGUUCAUAAAACAAAUAUCCAGCAAAAAGCAUGAUUAUGGUUUUAUGAAGCCUGCACGGAGACGGUACACUGCUACAGUGGCAUGGAAGACAGGUAUGCUGUAAUGGUACAAAGGUAUGCUGGGGUGGUGCACAGGUACACUAGACUAUUAUACAGAUAUUCUGGGGUGGUGCACAGGUGCACUAGAGUAUUAUACAGGUAUGCUGGGGUGGUGCACAGGUGCACUAGAGUAUUAUACAGAUAUUCUGGGGUGGUGCACAGGUGCACUAGACUAUUAUACAGAUAUUCUGGGGUGGUGCACAGGUGCACUAGACUAUUAUACAGGUAUGCUGGGGUACACAGAUGCACUAGAAUAUUAUAUAAGUAUGCUGGGGUUGUGCAAAGGUGCACUAGACUAUUAUACAGAUAUUCUGGGAUGGUGCACAGGUGCACUAGAGUAUUAUACAGAUAUUCUGGGAUGGUGCACAGGUGCACUAGAAUAUUAUACAGGUAUGCUGGGGUACACAGAUGCACUAGAAUAUUAUAUAAAUAUGCUGGGGUUGUGCAAAGGUGCACUAGAAUAUACAGGUAUGCUUGGGUUGUGCAAAGGUGCACUAGAAUAUUAUACAGGUAUGCUGGCAUGGUGCACAGGUGCACUAGAAUAUUAUACAGGUAUGCUGGGGUUGUACACAGGUGCACUAGAAUAUUAUACAGGUAUGCUGGCGUGGUGCACAGGUGCACUAGAAUAUUAUACAGGUAUGCUGGGGUUGUACACAGGUGCACUAGAAUAUUAUACAGGUAUGCUGGGGUGGUACACAGGUGCACUAGAAUUUUAUACAGGUAUGCUUGGGUUGUGCAAAGGUGCACUAGA